rnacentral:rRNA from 1 species
GAUGAACGCUAGCGGCAGGCCUAAUACAUGCAAGCUGAACGGUAAAUGUUCCAGCAAUGGAAUAUGAGAGUAGCGUAAGGGUGCGUAACACGUAUGCAAUCUGCCCUGUACAGGAGGAUAGCUCGGCGAAAGCCGGAUUAAUACUCCGUAACAUUAUUGAGUGGCAUCACUUGGUAAUUAAAGUCGCAAGACGGUAUGGGAUGAGCAUGCGUCUGAUUAGCUAGUUGGUAGUGUAACGGACUACCAAGGCGAUGAUCAGUAGGGGAACUGAGAGGUUGAUCCCCCACACUGGCACUGAGAUACGGGCCAGACUCCUACGGGAGGCAGCGGUAGGGAAUAUUGGUCAAUGGAUGCAAGUCUGAACCAGCCAUGCCGCGUGCAGGAAGAAGGCCUUCUGGGUUGUAAACUGCUUUUGCCGGGGGAUAAAAUUCCCAUGCGUGGGGACAUUGAAGGUACCCGGUGAAUAAGCCACGGCUAACUACGUCG